UACGUAGGGGGCUAGCGUUGUCCGGAUUUAUUGGGCGUAAAGAGCGUGUAGGCGGCCAGGUAGGUCUGGUGUGAAAACUCGAGGCUUAACCUCGAGAUGUCAUCGGAAACCAUUUGGCUAGAGUCCGGAAGAGGAGAGUGGAAUUCCUGGUGUAGCGGUGAAAUGCGCAGAUAUCAGGAAGAACACCCUGGCGAAAGGCGGCUCUCUGGUACGUACUGACGCUGAGACGCGAAAAGCGUGGGGAGCGAACAGG
rnacentral:rRNA from 1 species